AUUGAACGCUGGCGGCAGGCCUAACACAUGCAAGUCGAGCGGAUGAAGGGAGCUUGCUCCUGGAUUCAGCGGCGGACGGGUGAGUAAUGCCUAGGAAUCUGCCUGGUAGUGGGGGAUAACGUCCGGAAACGGGCGCUAAUACCGCAUACGUCCUGAGGGAGAAAGUGGGGGAUCUUCGGACCUCACGCUAUCAGAUGAGCCUAGGUCGGAUUAGCUAGUUGGUGGGGUAAAGGCCUACCAAGGCGACGAUCCGUAACUGGUCUGAGAGGAUGAUCAGUCACACUGGAACUGAGACACGGUCCCGACUCCUACGGGAGGCAGCAGUGGGGAAUAUUGGACAAUGGGCGAAAGCCUGAUCCAGCCAUGCCGCGUGUGUGAAGAAGGUCCUCGGAUUGUAAAGCACUUUAAGUUGGGAGGAAGGGCAGUAAGUUAAUACCUUGCUGUUUUGACGUUACCAACAGAAUAAGCACCGGCUAACUUCGUG
rnacentral:rRNA from 1 species